GAUGAACGCUAGCUACAGGCUUAACACAUGCAAGUCGCGGGGCAGCAUGGGGGUUGCUUGCCACUCCCGAUGGCGACCGGCGCACGGGUGAGUAACGCGUAUCCAACCUGCCCUUCACCACGGGAUAACCCGGCGAAAGUCGGACUAAUACCGUAUGUUGUCCAUUGACGGCAUCCGAUUUGGACGAAAGGCUUUGCGGUGAAGGAGGGGGAUGCGUCCGAUUGGCUAGACGGCGGGGUAACGGCCCACCGUGGCUACGAUCGGUAGGGGUUCUGAGAGGAAGGUCCCCCACACGGGAACUGAGACACGGUCCAGACUCCUACGGGAGGCAGCAGUGAGGAAGAGUGGUCAAGGGGCGUAAGCCUGAACCAGCCAAGUAGCGUGCAGGAUGACGGCGCUAUGGGUGGUAAACUGCUUUUAUGCGGGGAUAAAGUGGCCCACGUGUGGGCUUUUGCAGGUACCGCAUGAAUAAGGACCGGCUAAUUCCGUG
rnacentral:rRNA from 1 species